AUCUGUUUAGCUCAGUUGGUAGAGCGCUCCACUUCUAACGGAGAGGUCCCGGGUUCGAUACCUGGACCAGGCG
rnacentral:tRNA from 1 species